AGGGGGAUAACUACUGGAAACGGUAGCUAAUACCGCAUAACGUCUUCGGACCAAAGUGGGGGACCUUCGGGCCUCACACCAUCGGAUGUGCCCAGAUGGGAUUAGCUAGUAGGUGGGGUAAUGGCUCACCUAGGCGACGAUCCCUAGCUGGUCUGAGAGGAUGACCAGCCACACUGGAACUGAGACACGGUCCAGACUCCUACGGGAGGCAGCAGUGGGGAAUAUUGCACAAUGGGCGCAAGCCUGAUGCAGCCAUGCCGCGUGUAUGAAGAAGGCCUUCGGGUUGUAAAGUACUUUCAGCGGGGAGGAAGGCGAUAAGGUUAAUAACCUUGUCGAUUGACGUUACCCGCAGAAGAAGCACCGGCUAACUCCGUGCCAGCAGCCGCGGUAAUACGGAGGGUGCAAGCGUUAAUCGGAAUUACUGGGCGUAAAGCGCACGCAGGCGGUCUGUCAAGUCAGAUGUGAAAUCCCCGGGCUAAACCUGGGAACUGCAUUUGAAACUGGCAGGCUAGAGUCUUGUAGAGGGGGGUAGAAUUCCAGGUGUAGCGGUGAAAUGCGUA
rnacentral:rRNA from 1 species